UACGUAGGUCCCGAGCGUUGUCCGGAUUUAUUGGGCGUAAAGCGAGCGCAGGUGGUUUAAUAAGUCUGAUGUAAAAGGCAGUGGCUCAACCAUUGUGUGCAUUGGAAACUGUUAGACUUGAGUGCAGUAGAGGAGAGUGGAAUUCCAUGUGUAGCGGUGAAAUGCGUAGAUAUAUGGAGGAACACCGGUGGCGAAGGCGACUUUCUGGUCUGUAACUGACACUGAGGCUCGAAAGCGUGGGGAGCAAACAGG
rnacentral:rRNA from 1 species